rnacentral:lncRNA from 1 species
AAUUACCUAUUCAAACUGACGAAAUGCUGAUCAUUUGGAUUCCUAAUUUUAAACUCAAACUAACAAGACCCAAAUUCAAAGCCACCUACGAAAGCAGAAAGUCACUUGAACCUACUUUUACAAUUAUUAACAAUAUCCAAACGUUUAAAGAGUUUAAGAAGUAAACUGCAUACAGUUCCUUUAGUACAAAACCACACGAAAUUUGAAUAACACUCGUGUAAUUAAGAGCUCAAGACACAACAAAUCAAACUAAAUCAAAAACGAAGCUGCAUUUAUCAUAUAGAUCCAUCCGUACCAUUUCCAGCCCACAAUUAUCCAAGUUAAAGCUAUGUACCUGAAAUGUGUUGGAAAUAGUAAGAAUAAGGAAGAUUCAGCAAUAGUGACAGAGCACGUUAGCAAACAAGCAGCCCAGGAGCAAAUGUACAGCCCACUAUGAUUUCACAGCAAACAUAUCCAUGAACACUUUCAAAAAACCAAUUUGAAUAUCCACAAAAAUUUAAAAUCCCAACUAGAUGACCCAGAGAUGCUCACAAACUAAUCUGAUCUACUACACCAACUCAAAGUCAAGUUGAAUAAAACCAAAAAUCCUUGGAAAACCAGUCAAUACACUUCAAGGAUUCUCAGCUAAAAGAAGAGAGUGGAAUUGAACAACUUUUUGCCUAAAGACCAAUGUAACAGUACGUCUUUUUAAUUUUCCAAGUUAUUUGUUGUAUUUUUUUUUGGAUUUUUCUUUUUGAAGAAUGCUAAGAUCUAAAGGAAUAUGAAUCUUAAAUUUGAAUUCUCAUAUCUGUUAAGUUUUUGGAGUAUUUGGGAGAAUUUUUGGGCUCUCCAAACUUGUGAAUGAAGUAGAGGGGAUGCCCUUUUAUAGGCACAAAUGAGGGCAAACCUUAGAUUUUCAGUUUUCAACCUUAGUCCAUUUUUAAUUUCAUUUUUAACCCUCUAUUUAUUAACUUGUUACCCAAGUCAGCCCUAAGUUUACUGAAUUCUACACUAAAGUCCUAUUCUAGAAGGUCCUAAGGUGUUCUUUUAGCUAUACAAAACCUAUACUACCCUUGUCUUUGUUUUGGAAUUACUAUUCCUAGUAAAACUACCAUUUUCCAUGCCUAUACUACCCCUAAAAUCAUCUUGAAAUUACUAAACCACCCAAUUCCCUUUACUCUUAGCUAAGGUAUAACUAAAGUUACCCAUAGUCAAGCUAAAACCGAAGUCUAACAAUCACAAACAAUCAGGAACAACCAUCAAAAUAAAUAGAGACAAAAUUAAACUAUUUGUUAAGAAUAGAAUUCUAAUUAGAGUGAAUGUCUAUCUUAUAGAAGAGUUUUACUUUGN